AUGGACCUCCUGCUCUUUGUCAUUUAAACAGGCCACUCAAGACAAUAAUAUGAUUUAGGAAGUUCUUGCUCCAUGCCAGAUGCUGUUAGGCCAUUUAAUGCUAUUACCUCAAUCAGACAAUACUGAAGGCAGGUCCUCAGGGCGGAGGGACUUUUGAGUCACAUGCUGGUCAGUGGCAGAGACAGCCCAGCCUAGGACGUCAGCCUGUCCCUUAAGGCCGUGUUCUUCCCUUCAGAGUAGCCAUGGAUUUAGAUGAAUGGACCCCAAAUUGAACAGGAAUCCUUCCUCUUUUGGGAAGACUGACUCACGAGAAGCCGUCCACGGUCAGCCGGUGUCUGCGCUAGGACUGUUUUUCAAAUGCACCAAUUUGCUGUCACUUAAGAAAAUUUUGCUUGGAAUUUGGUGUGAACUGAGAACCCUAAGCAACCUGGGGCAUGUGUCCACCCUAAUAGUAACACAAGCACAGCAAAUAAGAAGAGAGCAGCAGAGCUGACAAUUCUGCUACAGGUGGAAGCUUUCUCAGCCACCUUCUAGGGAAUUUGGCAUUGGCUGAGAAGUCAAGUGAGUUUCUUCAUCAUCAUUAGCUUCAUCCAGCAUGUGCUGCUCACCUCCUCUGAAGGUCUGCACGCUGCACAUCUCUGUAGAGCAACCCCAAGUGAGGCAGGCAUCUUAAGGUCAAAGAAAUGAGGGAGCAGAGCAGUUAAUCAUGUGCAACUCCCAUCUGUUAAUGAGCAGUGUAAAUGGGACAGAAUUCAUCAUUUGCUUUUGGAGACACAAAGGUUAAGUUCUUUGUCCCAUCCUACAAAUCAAGACACCGUCAGAGCCCAGAAUGGAACAGGGACAGUUGACAAGGUUCUUUUCAGUCCUCCAACACCUUCUUCCUCCACGGAAGUGUUUGUUGGCUCAAAUAUCUCCAUGGUGGCAGUCAGCAAAUAGCAGUUAAAGGAAAACUUGAAGUACUCAGAUAAUCGACAGAGGCUUGAGUUAAAAAAACGAUGAGAGUCCAAGUAGAAAUGUUCCGUCAACAGACUCCAAUCCUCUCCAGAUUCAAAGACAAGUUUGAUUUGCUAAAUUUCAUCCCAUCCAGACUAUAAAACAAAUGAGUGUCAUUUAAAGAAAAGGCUUCAAAAUUCUCCAAUCAUAUCGACUCAUUUGCUCCUCAUUUCCAGGCUUGUUAAAUAAGGCAGAAUGUCAUCUCAUCGCAUCUGAAAGUCAUUUGGGCAAGAUCUAAAGGAAAAUAUUUCCUGGCCAUUAUUCUUUACAUGACUUUUUCUUAAAGUGCCAAUGGGGCACAGGGAAAUUAAAAACCAGAGUGUAUUAAUUGGAUAUAUGUCUCCAUCCCCACUUCUAGCUUUUGUUUUGCAAGUUUUAUAUUAGAAAUUGGCAAAUGGCUUAGGUACUUUGCCAAGACAUAUAGUUUGGGUCUGUGGGGCUCAGAGGCAGGAA